rnacentral:rRNA from 1 species
UACGAAGGGGGCUAGCGUUGUUCGGAAUUACUGGGCGUAAAGGGCGCGUAGGCGGUGUGUCAAGUCAGGCGUGAAUGCCCCGGGCUCAACCUGGGAACCGCGCUUGAGACUGGCACGCUCGAGUUCGGGAGAGGAUGGUGGAAUUCCCAGUGUAGAGGUGAAAUUCGUAGAUAUUGGGAAGAACACCGAUGGCGAAGGCAGCCAUCUGGACCGACACUGACGCUGAGGCGCGAAAGCGUGGGGAGCAAACAGG